rnacentral:rRNA from 1 species
UACAGAGGGGGCAAGCGUUAUUCGGAAUUAUUGGGCGUAAAGGGCGCGUAGGCGGCCUUUCAAGUGACGGGUGAAAUCCCCCGGCUUAACCGGGGAACUGCCUGUCAGACUGGGAGGCUUGAGACCGGGAGAGGUGAGUGGAAUUCCCAGUGUAGCGGUGAAAUGCGUAGAUAUCUGAAGGAACAUCAGUGGCGAAAGCGACUUCCUGGACCAAUACUGACGCUCAUGUGCGAAAGCGUGGGGAGCGAACAGG